UACAGAGGUCUCAAGCGUUGUUCGGAUUCAUUGGGCGUAAAGGGUGCGUAGGCGGUCGCGUAAGUCAGGUGUGAAAUCUCAGGGCUCAACCCUGAAACUGCACUUGAUACUGCGUGGCUCGGGUACUGGAGAGGAGACUGGAAUUUACGGUGUAGCAGUGAAAUGCGUAGAUAUCGUAAGGAACACCUGUGGCGAAAGCGGCUCACUGGACCAUAACUGACGCUGAUGCACGAAAGCUAGGGGAGCAAACAGG
rnacentral:rRNA from 1 species